rnacentral:rRNA from 1 species
UGCGCAGGCGGCCAAGUGUGUGAGGCGUGAAAGCCUGGAGCUUAACUCCAGAAUUGCACCUCAAACUACAUGGCUAGAGCAUUGGAGAGGGUAGCAGAAUUCAUGGUGUAGCAGUGAAAUGCGUAGAUAUCAUGAGGAAUACCAGAGGCGAAGGCGGCUACCUGGACAAUUGCUGACGCUCAGGCACGAAAGCGUGGGGAGCAAAAG